AACAAAAGGCAGGACAAACUUGAAACCCCCAAAACUAGCUUAGAAGCUGCAAACAGAAACUUGAAUGCUAAAAGUCUAUCAUAAAAUGCCAGAGGCAAGGAGACAGAACUUCCAACUAAGAGGGACAAAUUCCAGCCUACAUGUACAAGGUGCGGUAAAAGUCAUAGCCUGAGAGAUGCAUAUCAACCCAGAGGUGGAAGGUGUAAUAAAUGCACAAAAUAUUAACAAUUUUGCAGCUGCUUCCUGCACCAGUGCAGUCAGAGGUUUGACUAAUAUUACAGAGAAUCAAGAGCCAUUGUUUCUGGGAUCUUUCACUUGUGACAACACAGAAUCUGCCUGGAGAGUAAAACUGGAUAUUUAUAGCAAGACUAUUGACUUCAAAAUUGAUUCAGAAGCUGAUGUCACAGCCAUUUCAGAAGGGACUUACAUUCAGCCCCUCCCAGAGCUGAAGUCAGCUGACACAGCUCUGACUAGCUCUGGAGGGAUCCUGAACUGCGUGGACUAGUUCACCACAGAAACAAUUUACAAAGACAAAGGCUAUGCGUUCAGAGUGAAUGUGUUCAACAGACUGAAGACCAAGAACCUUCUCAGCUGCACUUUGGCAGUCAGGAUGAGCCCAAUGAGAAAGAACUCAAUGGAGGAUUUAAUGAUACUUAACUUUUGAAUGGAGAUCCAGUCUAAAUCAAGUGGAGACAAUACAGAAACCGUGUACAAAAAUCCCUAUCAGAGAGACUAGUCUUGGAAUAGACUGGCUGCAGAUUUAUGCAAAUUCAAAGGAUAUUAUUACCUGGUUAUCAUGGACUACUUUCCAGGUAUAUAGAAAUGAUGGAAGGUAAUAUCGAUGGUGAGCGUUCAGCUGUUGUGACCUGCACAGUUAGUGCCAUGUUUGUAUUUCUUCCACAGGACAGAAGUGACUUUGUCUGUACAAAGUGCAAGCUGGUAUCCAUAUUGAAAGAGAAGGUUCAAGGUCUGGAGAAAUAAGUAUCGACCCUGUGUUGGGUAAGAGAAACGGAAGAUUUCCUGGACAGACGUCAGGAUAUGCUUCUACGGACACAACGUUUUGAAGAUUCAGAGCAGGCUGCGCAGCGGGGACAGGAGGAUGGUGAAGAAAACUGGUAGCAUGUGACCUCCAGAAAAAGAAAGGGGAGCGUCCAUGUACCAGCAACGCAGAUACAGGGAGAGCGAUGGACAGCUUCUGCUAUCUUGACAUUGGACAUCAGGGAGGGACUCCAUGAUGGACACAGGAAUGGGUUAUACCCAUGGAAAUUCACCCGUACUAGUCUGCUGAAAGAUAAAAGCAUUGAAAUCUGCCUCCAAAGACCGGGAAAGGCUGAAGCAGACGGAGCAGGGAGAGACGCCCACAUUCAAAUCAAAACGGAACGCUGAGAUCUGACUGUUGCAACGCUGCCCCCACCCCGUCCCUGCCCCGGGGGGGCCAAGCUGAGCCUGAGAAGAGCCAGGAUUGACCAAUGAACAUUGCCAAAGAGCCCCAGUAACACGCCAGCAGCCCCCCAUCCACCACCCCCUCCAGCCCCCAGCACCUCCCGCCCAGCGGCAGCCCCGCCCGUCAGCGCCUCCCCCUCCCUCCCCACUCCUCCCGCCCGCCGCAAUCAGCUGUUCUGCCAUGCGCAGGGGGCUCUGGUGGGGAAGGGGCAGGAGCGAGGGCAUGGCAGGCUCGGGGGAAGGGGCAGGGGCCUUGGGGGAAGGGGUGGAGAGGUGGCAGGACCUGGGGCAGAGCAGGGGAUUGAGCAGUGAGCACCCCACAGCGUAUUGGAAAGUUGGCAUCUGUAGCUCCAGCCUCGGAGUCAGCGCUGUGCAAGGAGCCGCGUAUUAACCUCUGACGAGCCGCAUGCGGCCCCGGAGCCCCAGGUCGGCCACCCCUGCCCGAGGGGAAGGAGGCACCAACCUGUCAUGUGCGAUCGAAGGAGCAGGAAAAGAAUCUGGGAAUUACCUUCUGUAAAAACUCAUCUUUUGUCGAAAACCUGUGGAAAAAGCUGAUGCAAGAAGUUGUUGACAGAGGGAUAGUCCGCGUCUCUCAGCAGCUCCUUGGGUCACCAGCCGUUGUCAACCAAGCCAGUUGGCAGACUGAAGGCAGGGCAAGAAUGCUGAGGCCGAACAGUCUUUGCUGUUGGCAUCCGUGACCUCACAAUCAGCUUAAGCAUCAACACACACAGACCCCCCCACCCAGAGAGAUACACACACACAGAAGCUGGUAACAUUUACAACAUGGAGAGAUGCACCCAAAAUCUCGAGGACUUUUGAUUUGGGGGAGGGCAUCAUCGGCGCUGACUGCAUGGGUGCCCCGGGGCUGGAGCACCCAUGGGGAAAAAUUAGUGGGUG